GGAGAAAACUAACAAGGAUUCCCUUAGUAACGGCGAGUGAAGUGGGAAUAGCUCAAAUUUGAAAUCUCCCCUCUGGGGCGAAUUGUAGUUUAGAGAAACGUUUUCGGGCUUGACUUCAGGUACAAGUUCGUUGGAACUCGGCAUCAUAGAGGGUGAUAAUCCCGUCCAUGAUCUGUUGUUCAAGUCCAUAUGAUACGUUUUCCAAGAGUCGGAUUGUUUGGGAAUGCAGUCCAAAAUGGGUGGUAAAUACCAUCUAAAGCUAAAUAUUGGCGAGAGACCGAUAGCGAACAAGUACCGUGAGGGAAAGAUGAAAAGAACUUUGAAAAGAGAGUUAAACAGUACGUGAAAUUGUCAAAAGGGAAACGUUUGAAACCAGUAUUGUAUACAAGAUUUAAUGAGGAUUUAUUCUCAUGUCCUUUUUUGUUUACAAGUCAACAUCAGUUUGAUUUGAAGGAAAAUGCUAAAGGAAGGUGGCCUUCGGGUGUUAUAGCCUUUAGUUCUGCUUUGAAUUAGACUGAGGUCUGCAGCUUCGGCUUAGGAUGUUGACGAAAUGGUUUUAAGCGACCCGUCUUGAAACACGGACCAAGGAGUCUAACAUGUAUGCGAGUAUUUGGGUGGUAAACCCUUAUGCGUAAUGAAAGUGAAAAGGUGGGAUUCCUUUGGAUGCACCAUCGACCGCGCCAGAUUAUUACUAUCUCGGCGUGAGUAUGAGCAUAUAUGCUGGGACCCGAAAGAUGGUGAACUAUACCUGAAUAGGGUGAAGCCAGAGGAAACUCUGGUGGAGGCUCGUAGCGGUUCUGACGUGCAAAUCGAUCGUCAAAUUUGGGUAUAGGGGCGAAAGACUAAUCGAACCUC
rnacentral:rRNA from 1 species